AACGAACGCUGGCGGCAUGCCUAACACAUGCAAGUCGAACGAGAUCUUCGGGUCUAGUGGCGCACGGGUGCGUAACGCGUGGGAAUCUGCCCUUUGGUUCGGAAUAACAGUUGGAAACGACUGCUAAUACCGGAUGAUGACGAAAGUGCAAAGAUUUAUCGCCAGAGGAUGAGCCCGCGUAGGAUUAGCUAGUUGGUGUGGUAAAGGCGCACCAAGGCGACGAUCCUUAGCUGGUCUGAGAGGAUGAUCAGCCACACUGGGACUGAGACACGGCCCAGACUCCUACGGGAGGCAGCAGUGGGGAAUAUUGGACAAUGGGCAAAAGCCUGAUCCAGCAAUGCCGCGUGAGUGAUGAAGGCCUUAGGGUUGUAAAGCUCUUUUACCCGGGAUGAUAAUGACAGUACCGGGAGAAUAAGCUCCGGCUAACUCCGUGCCAGCCGCCGCAGUAA
rnacentral:rRNA from 1 species